GACGAACGCUGGCGGCGUGCCUAAUACAUGCAAGUCGAGCGGACGAUUCGAAAGCUUGUUUUUGAAUCGUUAGCGGCGGACGGGCGAGUAACACGUGGGCAACCUGCUCUGUAGACGGGGAUAACACCGAGAAAUCGGUGCCAAUACCGGAUAACACGAAAUGUCGCAUGACGUUUCGUUGAAACGCGCCGCAAGCUGCCGCUACAGGAUGGGCCCGCGGCGCAUUAGCUAGUUGGUGAGGUAACGGCUCACCAAGGCGACGAUGCGUAGCCGACCUGAGAGGGUGAUCGGCCACACUGGGACUGAGACACGGCCCAGACUCCUACGGGAGGCAGCAGUAGGGAAUCUUCCGCAAUGGACGAAAGUCUGACGGAGCAACGCCGCGUGGGCGAAGAAGGCCUUCGGGUCGUAAAGCUCUGUUGUUAGGGAAGAACAAGUACCGUAGUAACUGACGUUACUAUGACGGUACCUAACGAGAAAGCCACGGCUAACUACGUG
rnacentral:rRNA from 1 species